rnacentral:tRNA from 1 species
GGGGAUGUGGUGAAACUGGCAGACACGCAGCGUUCAGGGCGCUGUAACCGCAAGGUUAUGGGAGUUCAAAUCUCCCCAUCCCCA